rnacentral:rRNA from 1 species
AUUGAACGCUGGCGGCAGGCCUAACACAUGCAAGUCGAGCGGAUGAAGAGAGCUUGCUCUCUGAUUUAGCGGCGGACGGGUGAGUAAUGCCUAGGAAUCUGCCUGGUAGUGGGGGAUAACGUUCCGAAAGGAACGCUAAUACCGCAUACGUCCUACGGGAGAAAGCAGGGGACCUUCGGGCCUUGCGCUAUCAGAUGAGCCUAGGUCGGAUUAGCUAGUUGGUGAGGUAAUGGCUCACCAAGGCUACGAUCCGUAACUGGUCCGAGAGGAUGAGCAGUCACACUGGAACUGAGACACGGUCCAGACUCCUACGGGAGGCAGCAGUGGGGAAUAUUGGACAAUGGGCGAAAGCCUGAUCCAGCCAUGCCGCGUGUGUGAAGAAGGUCUUCGGAUUGUAAAGCACUUUAAGUUGGGAGGAAGGGCAGUAAGUUAAUACCUUGCUGUUUUGACGUUACCGACAGAAUAAGCACCGGCUAACUUCGUGCCAGCCGCCGCAGUAAAAC